ensembl:lncRNA novel transcript
GCGUCACGAGGAAGCCUCCAGAUGGAGCGCGGCCGCCAAGGCGCAGUAGCAGGGCGACGACGCUCCGAGAGGUCCCCAUCGUCAGACCCCUCUGGCUUCCAUGGCGCGUCUUCAAACCCGGCCGAUCCCGGCGAGUGUGGCGGCCGCGCAGCGCAGUGGCGAAUUCGAUCUUCUGGGUCUCCGGGUGGUUCCCACUGGGGCUCUCGCGCCGUCUCUCUGGAGCCAAAGGCCCCCCUCACACGGCUUUCGCCAGUGCAUCGCUUUUCCCAGCGGAAGUUCACAGAGACAGGGGGAUUGAGAAGGGACACAUCCAGAAUACACUUUGGGCCAGGCACAGUGGCUCACGCCUGUAAUCCUAAUACUUUAGGAGGUCAAGGCAGGCAGAUCAUUGGAGCCCAGGAGUUCGAGACCAGCCUGGCCAACGGGGCGAAAACCCGUCUCUACAAAACAACAACAAUAACAACAACAACAAAAAUUAGCUGGGCAUGGUGGCGUGUGCCUGUAGUCCCAGCUACUUGGGAGGCUGAGGUGGGAGGGUUGCUGGAGCCUGGGAGUUCAAGGUUGCAGUGAGCCAAGAUCACAUCGCUGCACUCCAGCCUGGGCAACAGAGGCAGACUUGGUCUCAAAAAACAAAACAAAACAAAAGAACACACUUUGCAGCCUCCCUCCAUUGAGGGGGCUGCUUUCUGUCCAGUGGAAUGUGAGUAAAGUGGCAAAGCCACUUCCAGGUCUGGCCUAUGAAAAUCUACCCUUAGCUCUCCAAUCUUCUCCUCUAGGCAUUGGCCGACUUUUUCUGUAAAGGACCAGUUGGUAACGGUUUUAGACUUCAUGAGCCAUGCCAUCUCUAUUGCACCUAAUCAACUCUGCCGUUGUUGUGUGAAGACAGCCAUAAGCAAUAUGUAAAUGUGUCUGUGUUUCAAUGAAACUUUAUCUACUAAAGCAGGGCCACAGCUACUCUUCUCUCUCUCUUAUUUGCUACCUGAAUUCUGAUAUUCAGAUCGCCUUUAGAAGCCACAUGUUGAAAGUGGCACAGCCUCCCGUUGUCUGAGACACUGUAAGAAACCCAGACAAGAAAACCAGAUGGGGUGCAAGGAAUCGGCGAUUUCCGUUUCUUACAGCAGAAAUGGAGGUCCCCCAAUUCCUUGCCCCCAUCCUCCUUUUAUGGAGUAAGAAAUAAACCUGUAUUGUGUUUAGCAACUGAAAUUUGGGGGUGGGGUAUCUCUUCCAUAAGUUAGUGUUACUUUAACUAAGAUAGAAUUAGUACUAGGAGCGGGAUAUUGCCAUAAUGAAAAUCGAAAAUGUGUGGCAUUGGUUUUGUAGUUGGGCAAGAUAGUGAGAAAACCUUUGUCAGGGUUUGGAAAGAUGGAGACCCAUGCUAGGCAACGGCAAAACAUUUGGUAAAAUAGUUGCCUGAGAUAAACAGGUCAGCUGUCCUCUGACCCUGUAGCUCUAAGGGAAGAAGUCAUAAAGUACAGGCAGCACUUAACAAGGUCUCAGAAGAAUAAGAUGGGACCAGUGAGCACUGGCUGAUUUGCAAGCAAAACUAAGAUGAAAUAGGGACUCCCGGAAUUUGGGGUAUUGGUUAGGAACAUUGACGGCUUCUAGAUGCCAAACAGAAGGAAAUCAUAGCUUAAAGGCCUUUGAGCAGCAAAGGCCCAUGAAGCCUCAACCUCAGGCAAGGUCAGAGUCAGGGAGUGUCCUUCCCCAGGCCUGAGAACCUCAAGAUUGCCAUCAGCACAUCGAGAGAGAAUGGCCGGAGGGCGGACAGCAGAAGAAUCAGGCUGGAGAACUGUGUCUAACUGUGAAUUUCGCACGUGGUUGCUGGCAUCCAGAAAUGACUGGAAGCAAGUAGAGGAGCCUUUUCAGAUUUUCAGGGAACUGUAUGUCAAAUAA